UACGGAAGGCAGCAGUGGGGAAUAUUGCACAAUGGGCGCAAGCCUGAUGCAGCCAUGCCGCGUGUAUGAAGAAGGCCUUCGGGUUGUAAAGUACUUUCAGUCGUGAGGAAGGUGUUAAGGUUAAUAACCUUAGCAAUUGACGUUAGCGACAGAAGAAGCACCGGCUAACUCCGUGCCAGCAGCCGCGGUAAUACGGAGGGUGCGAGCGUUAAUCGGAAUUACUGGGCGUAAAGGGCACGCAGGCGGUUAAUUAAGUUGGAUGUGAAAUCCCCGGGCUUAACCUGGGAAUGGCAUUCAAGACUGGUUAGCUAGAGUCUUGUAGAGGGGGUUAGAAUUCCAUGUGUAGCGGUGAAAUGCGUAGAGAUGUGGAGGAAUACCGGUGGCGAAGGCGGCCCCUGGGACAAAGGCUGACGCUCAUGUGCGAAAGCGUGGGGAGCAAA
rnacentral:rRNA from 1 species